UAGAUACCCUGGUAGUCCACGCCCUAAACGAUGUCAACUGGUUGUUGGGAAUUUAUUUUCUCAGUAACGAAGCUAACGCGUGAAGUUGACCGCCUGGGGAGUACGGCCGCAAGGUUAAAACUCAAAGGAAUUGACGGGGACCCGCACAAGCGGUGGAUGAUGUUCUUUAAUUCGAUGCAACGCGAAAAACCUUACCCACCUUUGACAUGUAUGGAAUCCUUUAGAGAUGAAGGAGUGCUCGAAAGAGAGC
rnacentral:rRNA from 1 species